rnacentral:rRNA from 1 species
GUAGGUGGCAAGCGUUGUCCGGAUUUACUGGGCGUAAAGAGCGCGCAGGCGGCCGAGUAAGUCGAAUGUGAAAGCCCCCGGCUCAACUGGGGAAGGUCAUUCGAUACUGUUCGGCUCGAAGAUAGGAGAGGGAAGCGGAAUUUCAGGUGUAGUGGUGAAAUGCGUAGAUAUCUGAAGGAACACCAGUGGCGAAGGCGGCUUUCUGGCCUAUUCUUGACGCUGAGGCGCGAAAGCUAGGGGAGCGAACGGG